rnacentral:rRNA from 1 species
UACGUAGGGUCCAAGCGUUAUCCGGAAUCACUGGGCGUAAAGCGUGCGUAGGCGGGUGUUUAAGUGCAAUGCGAAAUCCUGUGGCUCAACCAUAUGGACUGUAUUGCAUACUGGAUACCUGGAGGAAUGCAGAGGCAAGUGGAAUUACUGGUGUAGCAGUGAAAUGCGUAGAUAUCAGUAGGAACACCAAUGGCGAAGGCAGCUUGCUGGGCAUUUUCUGACGCUAAGGCACGAAAGCGUGGGGAUCGAACAGG